rnacentral:rRNA from 1 species
CCUACGGGAGACAGCAGUGAGGAAUAUUGGUCAAUGGACGAGAGUCUGAACCAGCCAAGUAGCGUGAAGGAUGACUGCCCUAUGGGUUGUAAACUUCUUUUAUAUGGGAAUAAAACGUUCCACGUGUGGGAUUUUGUAUGUACCAUAUGAAUAAGGAUCGGCUAACUCCGUGCCAGCAGCCGCGGUAAUACGGAGGAUCCGAGCGUUAUCCGGAUUUAUUGGGUUUAAAGGGAGCGUAGGUGGAUUGUUAAGUCAGUUGUGAAAGUUUGCGGCUCAACCGUAAAAUUGCAGUUGAAACUGGCAGUCUUGAGUACAGUAGAGGUGUGCGGAAUUCGUGGUGUAGCGGUGAAAUGCUUAGAUAUCACGAAGAACUCCGAUUGCGAAGGCAGUUCACUGGACUGCAACUGACACUGAGGCUCGAAAGUGUGGGUAUCAAACAGGAUUAGAUACCCCAGUAGUC